CCUACGGGAGGCAGCAGUGGGGAAUAUUGGACAAUGGGCGAAAGCCUGAUCCAGCAAUGCCGCGUGAGUGAUGAAGGCCUUAGGGUCGUAAAGCUCUUUUACCAGGGAUGAUAAUGACAGUACCUGGAGAAUAAGCUCCGGCUAACUCCGUGCCAGCAGCCGCGGUAAUACGGAGGGAGCUAGCGUUGUUCGGAAUUACUGGGCGUAAAGCGUGCGUAGGCGGUUAUUCAAGUCAGAGGUGAAAGCCCGGGGCUCAACCCCGGAACGGCCUUUGAAACUAGAUAACUAGAAUCUUGGAGAGGUCAGUGGAAUUCCGAGUGUAGAGGUGAAAUUCGUAGAUAUUCGGAAGAACACCAGUGGCGAAGGCGACUGACUGGACAAGUAUUGACGCUGAGGUACGAAAGCGUGGGGAGCAAACAGGAUUAGAUACCCUGGUAGUCCACGCCGUAAACGAUGAUAACUAGCUGUCCGGACACUUGGUGUUUGGGUGGCGCNGCUACGACAUUAAGUUAUUACCGUCCGUCGGGUAGGUACGGUCGGCGAGAAGUUAAAACGUUAACGAAAGAAAGUUAGACGGUCGUGUAGAGUUGUCCGAACGGACGACGACGAGGGAGGAGG
rnacentral:rRNA from 1 species